UACGAAGGGGGCUAGCGUUGCUCGGAAUCACUGGGCGUAAAGCGCACGUAGGCGGGUUGUUAAGUCAGGGGUGAAAUCCUGGAGCUCAACUCCAGAACUGCCUUUGAUACUGGCAACCUAGAGACUGGAAGAGGUUAGUGGAAUUCCCAGUGUAGAGGUGAAAUUCGUAGAUAUUGGGACGAACACCAGUGGCGAAGGCGGCUAACUGGUCCAGCACUGACGCUGAGGUGCGAAAGCGUGGGGAGCAAACAGG
rnacentral:rRNA from 1 species